AUUUAGGCCGGGGGUAGUAGAUGUAGCGUUUGGCUUAUUUCCAAACAAGCUUCCACCAGUUUGAGGUUUUGUUUGACCAAAAGCUCCUCCUGUUACGCCUCCAAACCCAGUCGAAGCGGGCGUAUUGGCCUGCGUAUUGUUACCAAAAGUAUUAGAAGAAAAAAGUCCUGUGCCUGCAGAAGUACCAGUAUCUGAAAAGGUUAAUAUAUGAAUAAGCACAAAAUUCGAAAAGUAAACUUGAAGACUUGUUCACCUAAAGAAACAU